rnacentral:rRNA from 1 species
UACAGAGGGGGCAAGCGUUAUUCGGAAUUAUUGGGCGUAAAGGGCGCGUAGGCGGCCUGGCAAGUGGAAGGUGAAAUCCCUCGGCUUAACCGAGGAACUGCCCUCCAAACUGCUUGGCUUGAGACCGGGAGAGGUGAGUGGAAUUCCCAGUGUAGCGGUGAAAUGCGCAGAUAUUGGGAGGAACACCAGUGGCGAAGGCGGCUCACUGGACCGGUACUGACGCUGAGGCGCGAAAGCGUGGGGAGCAAACGGG